GACGAACGCUGGCGGCGCGCUUAACACAUGCAAGUCGAACGGAAAGGCCUGCUUUCCCUUGUGGAUUGCGGGUACUCGAGUGGCGAACGGGUGAGUAACACGUGAGUGAUCUGCCCCCAACUUGGGUAUAAGCCUGGGAAACUGGGUCUAAUUACCGAUAGGACUGCAGGGUGGUGCCGGUGGUGGAAAACGAUUUGCUAGUGGUUGGGGAUGAGCUCGCGGCCUAUCAGGUUGUUGAUGGGGUAAAGGACUACCAAGGCGGCGACGGGUAGUCGGAGGGGGAGGGUGGACGGCGGCACUGGGACUGGGUCCCGACUCAGGCGGGUAGGGGCGGCAGGAGUGGGGAAUAUUGGACCAUGGGCGGGAGGCUGAAGCAGCGACGCAGUGUGGGAGAUGUCGGCCUUCGGGUUCUCAACUCCUAUGGACCGCGAGAAAGCCACCUGGUUGGAAGGGUGGUGACGGUAGUGGUAGAGGAAGCACCGGCUAACUACGUG
rnacentral:rRNA from 1 species